GUCUGGAUGACCUGGAUAUUGGUGAGAGUGGGGUAUUGAAGUUACCCACUACCACUGUGCGAGAGUCAAUAUGUGAUUUUAGAGGAGGUCGCCCAUACUCAGACCUGUAUUGGCUGUCCUUGCUGGUUGUCCCUUACAGCCUGGACUGAUGAAUACUUAUUCCUGUUGCCUCUUGAUGUCUUGACCCUUCGGAGGACACGGGCUAUUUCCAGUUCUCUGCUAUUCAGCACAUCGCGGAACCAAAGCUCCUUCCGCUCAGCUGCUCCGGGCUAAGAGUGUCCCCUGAGAACCCAGCAUCCGGAACGAGGCCGGGAACACAGUAGGUGCCUAAUACGUGUUUCCUAAGAUCACGAGUGUGUAAACGCUAUACAAAAGUGAGUUCACCACAGCCUCUCUCUCCCUUGCUCCCCCUUACCAGGACAAUGUUAGCUAGCAACCCAUUGUGUUUGGUGACGGACAGAGGGACACGAGCGAAGGUCCGCAGAUCCCUAAGGGGCAGGGACCUCUGGGGUUCUGGAAGGAGAACACAGCUAAAAGAAACGCCAAGUCUCUGAGCAUGCGCGCUGGGCACGUCCAGCGGAGUCUUCAGAAUCAGGCCGGAAGCAGCGUCUAGGUGCCUCGUUAGCGCAGUAGGUAGCGCGUCAGUCUCAUAAUCUGAAGGUCGUGAGUUCGAUCCUCACACGGGGCACAAUACUUUUGGUGCCCUUUUACCAGGUGACGCGGUAGCAGAGCAGAGUGUCUUGCACUGGCCCGCAGUGGCUGGAACAUUCUAGGCGGGCCUGGCCCUGGCCCUGUCCUGACCUUGCCCUUAUGAACUGGCGAUCGGUGGGGACCAGGACAGCCCCGGGUUGGGAGGGUGUACUGCUGAGGGUGUGCAGAGAUGGGUACUGCGAGCCGUGCGGGGCUCUCUCCGCGGAGCCGGGCCGUAGAGCGGUGGGGACCCGCCCAGGUGCGAGGACUCCAGGGGCCUCGGCCACUCCUGCAGGCAGGCGGCUGCCGGGCCACCUACAGGUCAUGCCGCACGUUAGGUGGGCAUGUGUCAGGAGUAACCCACCCCACCUUCCAAACUGCAACCCUGCCCUGGAUAACUGCGGCAGGGAGGACUCUUCCCGGAGUAACAGCCCUUCUUCCGUGGGUCGUGGGGCAGUGUGGGGAGUCUGUCCUUUCCCGGGGUGUCAUUUUUAGUUCAGUGGCCGAUCCAGGUACUCGGAAGAGAGGCACAGGUUGCUUUCCUGGCUCUCUCCGCUUCCCCCGAAGACCCCCUGGAUCGCCAGCAGCCCCAACUUUAGUGGUGCGCAGGGAGACUCUGCCUCCCCUUCAGGCAAGAGGUUUGGGGCCUGGGAUACGGGAAUUAGGGUAAGUGGAAACUGAGCCUCAGGUCCCCUUGUGUGACUCAAGUAGGGCUCUGGGCCAUGGGGUCUGGGGUCUUCCUCUUACACACACCAAGCUACACUUAGAAGUCUGCCCGUCUGCUUCGUUCUUAGAGACACAUAGUCAACAGCCAAAGGGCCCUGACUGUUACUGGCUCGCUGCACCUUGCUGACUUGGGGGAUCGGAAAGCUCGUUGGGUCCCUGCUCCCACAGACUACGACUAUAGGUGGUGACAUUUCUUAUUGUCACUGGUGGCCAGCGGAGCCACCACGGAGUUUCUCAGCUUUGCGGAUGAUUUCGCCGUUGGAUGCCUUACUGAACGAAAGCCGUCUUUUGGGCUCAGAGCCUGGAGUUGGGUGGUGUGUGGGGUCAUGUCGUUGAAGAUCCUUGUCCACACCGGGGAUUUCUAAGAUUUUUCCACUCAUGAUCCCUUCCCUUUUGGCUUGAGAAAUUUUUGCAUGACCCUGGGUUUAUAAGUAUAUAAAUAAAUAAAUAUG